GGAUUCUGCCAUACCACCCUAAAUAUGCCUGAUCGCGUCUGAUCUCAAAAGCUAAGCAGAGUCUGGCCUGGUUAGUAGUUGGAUGGA
rnacentral:rRNA from 1 species